rnacentral:rRNA from 1 species
UGGGGAAUAUUGCACAAUGGGCGCAAGCCUGAUGCAGCCAUGCCGCGUGUAUGAAGAAGGCCUUCGGGUUGUAAAGUACUUUCAGCGGGGAGGAAGGUGUUGUGGUUAAUAACCGCAGCAAUUGACGUUACCCGCAGAAGAAGCACCGGCUAACUCCGUGCCGG